rnacentral:rRNA from 1 species
UACGUAGGGUGCGAGCGUUGUCCGGAAUUAUUGGGCGUAAAGGGCUCGUAGGCGGUUUGUCGCGUCGGGAGUGAAAACCCAGGGCUUAACUCUGGGCUUGCUUUCGAUACGGGCAGGCUAGAGGUAUGCAGGGGAGAACGGAAUUCCUGGUGUAGCGGUGAAAUGCGCAGAUAUCAGGAGGAACACCGGUGGCGAAGGCGGUUCUCUGGGCAUUACCUGACGCUGAGGAGCGAAAGUGUGGGGAGCGAACAGG